UGUGGGUUGUAAACCUCUUUUCUCUGGGAAGAAGCUCUGACGGUACCAGAGGAAUCAGCAUCGGCUAACUCCGUGCCAGCAGCCGCGGUAAGACGGAGGAUGCAAGCGUUAUCCGGAAUUAUUGGGCGUAAAGCGUCCGUAGGCGGCUGUUCAAGUCUGCUGUUAAAGGCCGAGGCUCAACCUUGGAUAGGCAGUGGAAACUGAGCAGCUAGAGUUCGGUAGGGGUAGAGGGAAUUCCCAGUGUAGCGGUGAAAUGCGUAGAUAUUGGGAAGAACACCAGUGGCGAAGGCGCUCUACUGGGCCGAGACUGACGCUGAUGGACGAAAGCUAGGGGAGCGAAUGGGAUUAGAUACCCCAGUAGUCCUAGCUGUAAACGAUGGACACUAGGUGUUGGCCGUAUCGACCCGGUCAGUAUCGAAGCAAACGCGUUAAGUGUCCCGCCUGGGGAGUACGCACGCAAGUGUGAAACUCAAAGGAAUUGACGGGGGCCCGCACAAGCGGUGGAGUAUGUGGUUUAAUUCGAUGCAACGCGAAGAACCUUACCAGGGUUUGACAUCCUACGAACCUUUCUGAAAAGAGAGGGUGCCUUCGGGAGCGUAGAGACAGGUGGUGCAUGGCUGUCGUCAGCUC
rnacentral:rRNA from 1 species